GUUAUCGACAACAAUGUCUGCUAAUAAUUGGUCUGUUUAGCCGACUCAUUACGUUUUGAAAAUGGAUAUAUACAUUUUGCACAUUGAAUCAAUCAAUGGAUCAUGUGACGUUCUGGCUGGCGUUUAUUGUCCACAAUCUACGUGUCACGCGAAUGAGUCGUGGUCGUGAGUCAUUAAUGAAAUCAAAUGAGAGGCAUAGGAAGUUGAACAGAAAGAAAGAAAGACACUGAGAAAUGAAUAAUAUAAAGAAAAAAACGGAUAAAACAAUUCUAAUGUGAUUUUUGUCGAUAUUAUAGCAUUUGAUGUAGUUUUAUGAAGAUACUGAAAUAUUGAAAAAUUUUAUUUGAUAUUAUAUAAUUAAAUAAAUUAAACUU